AAAGAGUUGAAAAACUCCCUAAACCAUCGCGAACUCAUCCUUUAGUGUUGCUUCGGCGGGCAGCUCCUCCCUGGGGCCGCAGCCCAAUCCCUCCUCUGGGGGGUGCGGGCGCCCGCCGGAGGUACCAAACCCUUCUGUAUUAAUACUGUCAUCUCUGAAUAAACAAGCAAUAAAUCA
rnacentral:misc_RNA from 1 species